AGGUGUCUGCUGUCCAGGUGGAGGUUGUCGUGGUCUCAGAAUCAUCCGUCACAGAGGGAGAAGCGAGCAGCCUGUCCUGCUACUAUGCAACUACAGCUGGCACCUGCUGGUCUGUGCGCUGGGUUAAAGGCGGGGAAGAUGUGUUAAGGAGAGACUCGUGCGGUGGUAAAACGGGCUCGGAGGGAAGAUCAGGGGGAUUAUUUCUGUUACAUCCAAGCAAAGGGUGGACUGCCACAGAGCGGAACACCAGCUGCUGCGAGGCUGAAGGUCAGUGAGAGAAGCCCGGAUCAGACCACCAGCACUCCUCCCCCUACAUCGGUGUCUCCGACACAGACGACUUCAGAAGUAAACGGACUGGGAACUCUGGCCGCUGUCUGCAUCACAGCUGUGGUCUUUUUGGUUUUCGGCCUUGUGUGUGGAUGGUUCCUGAAAUCUCACUGCUCCACGUACUUGUCACGUCUUCUCCGACGCUUUGGACCCGGAGAUGAACGACAUGAUGUAGAUGGGGCGUCGGAGCCUUUGAGCCAUCCUCCUCCUCUGCAGAUGAAUGGCCACCAUCCAUCAAAUACGUCCCAGGCA
ensembl:lncRNA